rnacentral:rRNA from 1 species
GACGAACGCUGGCGGCGUGCUUAACACAUGCAAGUCGAACGGAAAGGCCUGCUUUCCCUUGUGGAUUGCGGGUACUCGAGUGGCGAACGGGUGAGUAACACGUGAGUGAUCUGCCCCCAACUUGGGUAUAAGCCUGGGAAACUGGGUCUAAUUCCCGAUAGGACUGCAGGGUGGUGCCUGUGGUGGAAAACGAUUUUCUAGUGGUUGGGGAUGAGCUCGCGGCCGAUCAGCUUGUUGGUGGGGUAAUGGCCUACCAAGGCGGGGCCGGGUAGCCGGCCUGGGGUAGUGGGCGGCCACAUUGGGACGGAGAUACGGCGCAGACUCCUACGGGAAGCAGCAGUGGGGAAUAUUGCGCGAUGGGCGGAAGCCUGAGGCAGCGACGCCGCGUGGGGGAUGACGGGCUUCGGGUUGUAAACUCCUUUCGGCCGCGAGGAAGCCACCUGGUUGGAAGGGUGGUGACGGUAGUGGUAGAAGAAGCACCGGCUAACUACGUG